ACGAACCGUGCGAACGUUGUUCGGAAUCACUGGGCUUAAAGGGCGCGUAGGCGGCCAGGAACGUCCGGGGUGAAAUCUUUCGGCCCAACCGGAAAAGGGCCCCGGAUACGGCCUGGCUGGAGGGGGAUAGGGGCGGACGGAACUUCCGGUGGAGCGGUGAAAUGCGUUGAUAUCGGAAGGAACGCCGGUGGCGAAAGCGGUCCGCUGGGUCCCUACUGACGCUGAGGCGCGAAAGCCAGGGGAGCGAACGGGAUUAGAUACCCCGGUAGUCCUGGCCCUAAACGAUGGGUACUGGGUAGCGGGCCUUCUGGGCGCGCUGCCGUAGCAAAAGUGGUAAGUACCCCGCCUGAGGAGUAUGGUCGCAAGACUG
rnacentral:rRNA from 1 species